UGUGUCUCUCUGUCUCUCAGAUUAUGGGCAAUAAUAUCCCAAUAGCAAGAGGUUAUGGAGGAGAGGAGAAGGAAUCCUUCACUUCAGAUGAGGUUAGGAGGAUGAGUAAAAUGUAAGAAAUGGUACAAAAUUUUGUAGAAAAGCAUCAUCCAAAUAAGGGUGUGGCAGUGUGAGCAAUGAAUCCCUUUAAGGACAAUGCAGUGUCACAUUUCCAGGAACUCCUUGAAAGGAGGCAAAAGCAAGUGGCAUUUGAUAGGUUCCUUGUUAGAGUUGCACGAAAAGAAGACUCCACUGAGCCAACAGACAGCAGUAAUUCCCUCAGUGACAGCGACAGUGACAGUCAUGCUACACAGUCACCCUCCUCUCUUGUCUCCCUCAUACCAGCCAUGAAGGUUUUCAAAGAAUAAUGAUGUCGUCGACUGCCCACUGGUCAUAGUCCUCCCCGGAGAACACGGGCUGCCACCAGCGGAAUCUGGUGCACAAGGUCUUAGCCGCAGCCGGAAGCUCCAGAUAGACGAAUCUGCAUAAAAGCAAAUCACCACGGUCGGGAAAAGAAAAGCUGGGUUUUCCUGAGCAGUUAAUGAAAUAAUAAGGGAAGCAACUGAGGAUAUUUAGUGUUGUUGGAUCUUUUGACAUUUCUGAAGUUCCUAAAUUUGGACUGACAAGAAGUUUAAUGUUAUAAGAGAGCUGAGUUGGAUCAUGUUGAUUUCAUUUGAAAUUGCAUCUUCUGGAGAAGAGAGAAAAAUAUUGCAGCUACUUUGAUUUACCAAGUUCUUUUGAUUACUAUAACUGUAACAGGAAAGUUAAAAAUCAACAAUCUGAUGCCCUAUUAAGACAGGAUGUGCUCACCCAGCCCAGCACAUAGUCAGACCACUAGACUCAGCCUUAACCGAUCACGUCAGUUGCAACUUAGAGGUAGUCAGACCUGACUCAGUCUGACCGCAUCCACCUGGACUGCCUGUACUGUCUGACAUGCAAACAGAUUCUAUUUUCAAGGACUGUCCAACCAAGAUUAACUACCGAAAGACAUGUUUAGUUACAACCUCUCAGCCCCAGCUCCCUCCCUAGAUUCUCCUGCCCUAGGAUAGACAAUUCCUUUUUAAGGUAAACCUGCUGGAACAAAUCUGCUUUGCAACAUAUGACCUAACAUAAACUGAUUUGCUAUUAGCUUUUGUACUCCCUGCUUGCAACCUUAUAAAAACUAAAUCCAAAAUUGAUUUGAGGCUGGUGAUUUGGGACUUGGUCCCAACAGUCUGCUAGCGUAAGAAACAGUUGCCUUCCAACUCCUUGGUGCAAAGGAUCUUCCAUUUGGUUUGAUAUCAGAUUUCUGCAACAUAACAAUGGCCAUAACCUUUUAAAGACAUAUCAAGAAAAAACAAUUCUUUGCAGGUUAACACAACAAAAUAGCAUUUAAGAAAAUUUCCAAAGGAACUCGUACUCAUUAUAGGAAAAUAUAAAUAUGCAUUAAAAAUGAAACAUGACUGUUCUGUUUGAUAGUAUCAAGUUUGAGGGUAUAGGCAACUACUUUGAAGGCAAUAAGAUUCACUAUGAUGCCCAUUCUGGUUUGACUAUUAUCUUCUUUUGAAGUUCUGUAAUGUUUCCAAUGUUUAGGUUUUAUUGGUCUUGUUCUGUACUGUUUUGUUCAGUUUUAUUAUACCUGAUGAUAUAGGCAAUUCUUUUUAAGGAAGCAAGAGGCAUUAUGGUAACCAUUGUUGAUAACCUUGUAUUCUGUUUUUACAUCAUGUGCUAUGUCUAUCCUUUGUUUUGACCAACUGCUUUGUUUUGUCAUAUUUGGUUUUAUUCUUUUACAAAAAAAGUAAUAAGAACUAUGGUAGUAAUAAAACUCAAAAUGUAUAAGUUUUGUUGUAAAAAAGAGAGGAAAAAAAUGUGCUGUAAAGGAUACAACUGCAAGUGUGUAUGGAUGUGUUAAGAUAGAUAACUAUAUUACUGAGUUUUUGUUGGAUCAUUGAACACAACUGUUUGCAGUCUCACUGUUUGAAUGUCCACUUUGUAUGCUUUAAUCCUGUAACUUGAACAACUGUUUCUAAGAUAACAAUAUGUAAUCUAUUAACUAGUGAUUUUUUUAAUCAUUUUUUUGUAAUUCUGUAUUACUUGUACCCUUAUACUGUUUUGUUUUUUUUUCCUUUAAAUAAAAAAAAAGAAACAUGAACCACCUUAA